rnacentral:RNase_P_RNA from 1 species
GAAGUCGGUCAGGCAGCCGCUGGGCAAAAGGUGAAAGCCUGGCGCCGAGAGGAAAGUCCGGGCUCCAAAGAGCAGGAUGCCGGUUAACGACCGGGCACCGUGAGGUGACGGAAAGUGCAACAGAAAGCAGACCGCCGAUGUCCUCGCGCAGGCGACUGCCAGGGCAGGCAAGGGUGAAACGGCGAGGUAAGAGCUCACCGCGGACGUGGUAACACGGACGGCACGGCAAACCCCAUCCGGAGCAAGGCCAAAUAGGGAAGCAUCGGCGUGGCUCGCGCUGCUUCCGGGUAGGCCGCUUGAGCGUGCUGGCAACAGCACGUCUAGAGGAAUGGCUGUCCACGACAGAACCCGGCUUAUCGACCGGCUUCCCCC